AUAAGCAAAAGCUUCGUAGCCGUAGGAUCCUUUUUUUCUAACGUGGACUCCUCUCUCAAAUUAGAGUAGACAAAGUUCUGUCAUAUAUAUCACGGUCUGAAGUUGUAGCUGAACUUGCUUUCAUCUUCAGUUUCUAUCACUAUUUAAAGGUUUUCAUCAUUAUUCAUUUGGUGGCUAAAUAUUACUCAUGGAGAACUUAAGGACGUUUCUAGAGAAUGCAAGACCAUGUUUGAGUGAGAAAUUGGUCUCGAUGAAAUUGAGAGUUCAAUGAACAACACAUACAAUGCAAGUAAAUCUACCUACUCAAACCCAUCUUCUAUUUCUAAAGCAGAAGGGCUUUCGGUGGCUGAACCAAUAGAAGAUUCUUCGUUGGGAAGCAAAGCUUAUAGCUUUGAUGAGUAUCUAAAGGUUACAGAAGAGCAACUGAAAGCUUACGAUCAGCUCCAAACCAAUUUUCCAGCACAAAGCCAGAGUGGAUCCAAGUACAACGGGAAGGUUGACAUGAUUGUCUUGACAGAUGGAAGUCGUAUUCUUGGCCUCGGUGACCUUGGAGUUCAGGGAAUAGGAAUACCUAGAUUGGAGGGAGAAGAGUAUCUAUCAAUUGUUGAUGAUUUUAUGGAAGCCGUGCAUACAUGUUGGCCUAAAGCUAUUGUUCAGUUUGAGGAUUUUCAAAUGAAAUGGCCUUUUGAAACAUUACAACGUUAUCGUAAGAGGUUCUGCAUGUUCAACGAUGACAUACAAGGAACUGCUGGUGUUGCUCUCGUUGGACUAUUGGGAACUGUGAGAGCUCAAGGGCGGCCAUUGAGUGAUUUUGUUAACCAAAAGAUAGUAGUGGUAGGGGCUGGAAGUGCAGGGCUCGGUGUUCUUAACAUGACUAUUCAGGCUGUUUCGAGAAUGGCAGGGAACAACGAUUCUAGUUUACUUUAUCAAAAACAAAGAAGAAAAGGAAGGGACCACAAGAAAUCAAUGGUGGAAUCGAUCAGGCAGGGUGUGGAAAAUUACAACUCAGUUUUUGUUUUCACUGUUGAGAACAUGAGAAACCUCAAGUUCAAGGAACUCAGGGAGCAGCUGAAGUCAACUAGCAGUUACUUUAUCAAAAACAAAGAAGAAAAGGAAGGGACCACAAGAAAUCAAUGGUGGAAUCGAUCAGGCAGGGUGUGGAAAAUUACAACUCAGUUUUUGUUUUCACUGUUGAGAACAUGAGAAACCUCAAGUUCAAGGAACUCAGGGAGCAGCUGAAGUCAGCUAGCAGCAAGGAGCAGCUGGCAAACAAAUUUCUUUAUGCCAUAAAUGCGGAUGCUGGUUUUGAUCUAAGCUAAUGGAUGUUGUUGUUUUACCCUUCUUCUUGUUGAUAUACCUUUCGUAACAUCCUUUCAUCCCUAAUCUCAUCCUCGACCACAACCACUGCUUUGACCACGAUCGUCUCUCCGAAGAUUUGUGAGACAGUUCCAUUAGGUUAUGGGCACUAAGUGGUGAAACAUUGAUGGAGAUGGUUGGUGACACUUCCAUUGUGUAUUCAGUGGAUUCACAUGCUUCCGAAGUCAUUGUUAGUGGGAGUGAAGAUUGUUCGGCAAAGAUAUGGAAAGAUGGAAUUUGUGUCUAGAGCAUUGAGCAUCCUGGUUGCGUUUGGGAUGCCAAGUUUUUGGAAAAUGGAGAUAUUGUCACAGCUUGUUUAGAUGGAGUAGUACGUGUCUGGACGGCAGAACAGGAAAGAAUUGCUGAUCCCCAAGAAUUGGAGUUAUUUGCUUCAAGACUGUCUCAGUAUAAGUUGAAGAGGUGCCCCACAACAGCUGCCACACACACACACACACACUCACAAAGAGGAAGUUCCAAAAUCCUUUGGAAGAGGGUUGGAGGAUUGAAAUUGGAAGAAUUACCUGGGAUGGAUGCUUUACAAAUUCCAGAAAUACAGUGAGCGGAAUUCAUGGAAGUUUUUCCCUGUUUCAAGUUCUAAGGGGGGACACGAAACUUAUGUGACAGAAAUCAAAGGAUAACGUGUCUACAGUAAAUCGAAAUAAGAGUCUGGUUUUCAUUGAGUUCAACGUAUUCCUCAAACAGAAACACAGGGCCGUAUGCAUACUUCUACGACUACAGUAGUCAUCAUGCUAGAGGCAGAUGAAGUUGAAGUAGUGAUUGAUCCGAAGGACAUUGAACUGACUACUGCAAGAUCUGGGGGCGCAGGAGGGCGAAAUGUCAACAAGGUGGAGACAGCAAUUGAUCUUUCCCCAAGCCGACAGGAAACCACAUUUUUUGCA